rnacentral:pre_miRNA from 1 species
GAUCGAUCCCUAUGACGCGCGCUAAGCAGGAACCGGGACUUGAUACACAUUCGAUAGCAGUCAGGUACCUGAAGUAGCGCGCGUUAUUCGGUUCG